GGGAUGCUUUUACACAUGCAAGUCGAACGGCAGCGCGAGAGAGCUUGCUCUCUUGGCGGCGAGUGGCGGACGGGUGAGUAAUAUAUCGGAACGUGCCCAGUAGCGGGGGAUAACUACUCGAAAGAGUGGCUAAUACCGCAUACGCCCUACGGGGGAAAGGGGGGGAUCGCAAGACCUCUCACUAUUGGAGCGGCCGAUAUCGGAUUAGCUAGUUGGUGGGGUAAAGGCUCACCAAGGCAACGAUCCGUAGCUGGUUUGAGAGGACGACCAGCCACACUGGGACUGAGACACGGCCCAGACUCCUACGGGAGGCAGCAGUGGGGAAUUUUGGACAAUGGGGGAAACCCUGAUCCAGCCAUCCCGCGUGUAUGAUGAAGGCCUUCGGGUUGUAAAGUACUUUUGGCAGAGAAGAAAAGGUAUCUCCUAAUACGAGAUACUGCUGACGGUAUCUGCAGAAUAAGCACCGGCUAACUACG
rnacentral:rRNA from 1 species